UGGGGAAUUUUGGACAAUGGGCGAAAGCCUGAUCCAGCAAUGCCGCGUGUGUGAAGAAGGCCUUCGGGUUGUAAAGCACUUUUGUCCGGAAAGAAAUCCUUGGCUCUAAUACAGUCGGGGGAUGACGGUACCGGAAGAAUAAGCACCGGCUAACUACGUGCCAGCAGCCGCGGUAAUACGUAGGGUGCAAGCGUUAAUCGGAAUUACUGGGCGUAAAGCGUGCGCAGGCGGUUUGCUAAGACCGAUGUGAAAUCCCCGGGCUCAACCUGGGAACUGCAUUGGUGGCUGGCAGGCUAGAGUAUGGCAGAGGGGGGUAGAAUUCCACGUGUAGCAGUGAAAUGCGUAGAGAUGUGGAGGAAUACCGAUGGCGAAGGCAGCCCCCUGGGCCAAUACUGACGCUCAUGCACGAAAGCGUGGGGAGCAAACAGGAUUAGAUACCCUGGUAGUCCACGCCCUAAACGAUGUCAACUAGUUGUUGGGGAUUCAUUUCCUUAGUAACGUAGCUAACGCGUGAAGUUGACCGCCUGGGGAGUACGGUCGCAAGAUUAAAACUCAAAUGAAUUGACGGGGUCAUAGCUGUUU
rnacentral:rRNA from 1 species